rnacentral:rRNA from 1 species
UACAGAGGGUGCAAGCGUUAAUCGGAAUUACUGGGCGUAAAGCGUGCGUAGACGGUUACAUAAGUCGGGUGUGAAAGCCCCGGGCUCAACCUGGGAAUUGCAUUCGAGACUGCGUAGCUAGGGUGCGGAAGAGGGAAGCGGAAUUUCCGGUGUAGCGGUGAAAUGCGUAGAUAUCGGAAGGAACACCAGUGGCGAAAGCGGCUCCUGGUCCAGCACCGACGUUCAGGCACGAAAGCGUGGGGAGCAAACAGGG